UUCAUCGAUAGGUGUAAACCCAUAAAUUGAUACAUUUCAUUAAUGUCCUUGACCAACAACCAACCACCAGGCCACUAAUGGUACAUAACGUUGCACAACUACCUCUUAGUAGUUCCUCAUCGACUCUAUUUUUCCCAACUCUGGUAGUAUCACUCACAGAAGCACCAAAGCCUUCAUGCCUCCACAUAAGGGUGCAAAAUCGGCCCAAACCCGUCUCACCAAUGAAAAAUGCUAGCCAAAAUUCAAUCCAUCCGCUUGCUAAAGCCCAACCCAUCAAGGGACAAAAAAAAAAACUUGCUUUGCAGUAUGGCUGUGGCUGAGCGGCCAAAUGUGUUAAAAGCCCAACAAGUUUAUCCAAACAAGUUGAUUACAUCUUUGAGCUCCACGUUGAUCACCAUGGCCGAGUUCAUCUCUUCAUAUGCUGCACAGAACUUCGCAAAAACGUUCGCCAAACCUCUUGGUUAUGCUCUCCUUGUUUUUAUUGUAGAUUUAAAAGGUUAGCCAGUCAGAUAUCCUUGUAUGUUCAUUUAAAGUUCAGUGAUUUUUCUUUGUUUAUGAAGUGGUGUCUCAUUUAUAAUACAAUAUAGUGCAAUUUCUUUUGUCUA